rnacentral:rRNA from 1 species
UACGUAGGGGGCAAGCGUUGUCCGGAAUUAUUGGGCGUAAAGAGCUCGUAGGCGGCUUGUCGCGUCGGAUGUGAAAGCCCGGGGCUUAACCCCGGGUCUGCAUUCGAUACGGGCAGGCUAGAGUUCGGUAGGGGAGAUCGGAAUUCCUGGUGUAGCGGUGAAAUGCGCAGAUAUCAGGAGGAACACCGGUGGCGAAGGCGGAUCUCUGGGCCGAUACUGACGCUGAGGAGCGAAAGCGUGGGGAGCGAACAGG